rnacentral:tRNA from 1 species
GGCGAUGUAGCCAAGAGGCAAGGCGGAGGUCUGCAAAACCUUGAACCCCGGUUCGAAUCCGGGCAUCGCCUCCA